GAAUUUCCACUUCCAAUCUGUGGUGCAACGUAUGUAACACAGCAAAUCAGUAAGGCUUUAUCAAGCACUUUCUUUGUGCAAGGCCCCUGUCCCAGGCCCUGCCUGGGAACCUUGCUUCCAGCUUGAGGUAAUGGGGGUCAAGAAGGAGGGGCAGGUAACCCUGGUUUUGAGAACUCAGGAGGGAGCUUGUAAACUCAGGAAGCUAGAGAGGCCUGGAAACUUCAUGGUGGAGGUAGGACUUGAAGGAUGAGGGGGGUAGGAAGGAGAAGAGGCUGUGCAUGAUGAGAAGGACUCCAGCUGCCACGGUCCAGUGGUGUUCAGACUCCAGGAAGAGCCUGACCUACUUGGAGUGGAGGGGAGGAGAGAGGGAGGGUGUGGACGUCAGGAUGUCCUGGAGCCCAAGGCUGCUACAGCUGCUCCCUGCUCCCCACAUCAGCUACCUGACAUGGGAGUCAGGGAAAUCCUUGCUCCUCCUGUUGCCCACCUCAGGGGAUCCUAGAGAAGAAUCCAAUAUGAGACUUUUUUUUUUUGGUGAGACAGAGUUUCGCUCUGUUACCCAGGCUGGAGUGCAAUGGCACGAUCUUGGUUCACUGCAACCUCUGCCUCCCGAGUUCAAGUGAUUCUCCUGCCUCAGCCUCCUGAGUAGCUGGGAUUACAGGCAUGUGCCACCAUGUCUGCUUAAUUUUUGUAUUUUUAGUAGAGAUGGGAUUUCACCAUUAUGGCCAGGCUGGUCUUGAACUCCUGACCUCAAGUGUUCCACCCACCUCGGCCUCCCAAAGUGCUGGGAUUCCAAGUGUGAGCCAAUGUGCCCAGUCCAAUAUGAGACUUUUUGAAACAAUUUGCUACUUAGGGAUUUAUGAACAUUAAAAUAUAUAUCAUCUGGCCAGGUGUGGUGGCUCACAUGUGUAAUCCUAGCACUUUUGGAGCCAAGAUGGGAGGAUCACUUGAGCCCAGGAGUUCGAGCUCAGCCUGGGCAAUAGCUGCUAAGUGUGGUGAAACGCCAUCUCUACAAAAAAUACAAAAAUUAGACAGGUGUGACGGUGCAUGCCUGUAGACUCAGCUACUCUGAAGGCUAAGAUAGGAAGAUCGCUUGAGUUUGGGAGGCGGAGGUUGCAGUGAGCCGCGAUUGUACCACUGCACUCCAACCUGAGUGACAGAGAGAGACUCUGCCUCAAAAAAAAAAUCAUCUCUAAGUGAGUGUGGCUAGUGGUCAACAUUCACAUUUCUGUCCAAUGGAAAUUGCUAGAUCCCAGCUGCUAGCUUUGUAGAAAACCUGCAGGUCAGCAUUGCAUUCCAGGUUUGCAGGUAGAACUAGACCAUGACCUUCACUUGGGAUCAUGUCAAGAUCCUAAAAUUGGUUGCAGAAAUAUUUCUUUUUCCAUCCGUUGAAGAAAAUAACUCUACUGUGGUUAUCUUUAUUUUGGCAUCUUGGGAGAAACUUAAGGAAGAAUGUUGACCCCAAAUGUGCUGGUAUCUGAAACAUUUGGUUACUCUUCAAACCACUAGAUCACAUGUCCCUGAUAGAUGGUGGGGCCACUGAGGAGGAGUCUGGGGGCAUGGGGAGCAGGCAGAAGGGGGGCCCAGUGGGCUGGCAUCUGUGAGGACAAGAGCAGGGCUCUUGCGUCUGUGAGUUGUUUAACCUCAUCUCUCUAUUCUGCAUAUAAGGGGAUGGAGACUCAAGAAGUUAAAGAAAAUUUACCCAAGGUCACAGAGCUAGAAAGUGGCAGGAGUCCGGCUUCAAAAUUCAGAUGACUACACACCCCAGUUCCCUCUCAGCCAGGCCACCUUCCUUAGAGAACAACCAAACCCACACCAAAAGGUGAACACAAGCUGAAUCACCAGGACUCAUCAGCAGCGAGGCUUCCUUGGUCCUUUCCCUAGAAAUUCAGGCUCCUGUACUGAAAAAAAUGAAGCAGCU
rnacentral:lncRNA from 1 species